rnacentral:lncRNA from 1 species
UCGGUCUGAGCGGCAUACAAACACCCACUCGGGGCCUGUCGAGAUCCCUCGCUCUGGCGCUAGACGGGUGGCCGCCCAGGCUGGUACUGUGUCGACGGAGUCCCGUGGCUGACGGCUGGUAGAGCCGGUGCCGAUGCAGUCGACGGUGCCGGUGAAGAACCUCUCGGGCACUCGGUCCGAACGUGGCCCUCCUGGCCAC